UGGGGAAUUUUGCGCAAUGGGCGAGAGCCUGACGCAGCAACGCCGCGUGGGUGAUGAAGGUCUUCGGAUCGUAAAACCCUGUCGUCAGGGACGAAGGUCACGAGUUUAAGAGAUGCGUGACUUGACAGUACCUGGAGAGGAAGCCCCGGCUAACUCUGUGCCAGCAGCCGCGGUAAUACAGAGGGGGCAAGCGUUAUUCGGAAUUAUUGGGCGUAAAGGGCGCGUAGGCGGUGUCUUAAGUGAGACGUGUAAUCCCCGAGCUUAACUUGGGAACUGCAUCUCAGACUGGGGCGCUAGAGUACUGGAGAGGGUGGUAGAAUUCCACGUGUAGCGGUGAAAUGCGUAGAGAUGUGGAGGAAUACCAGUGGCGAAGGCGGCCACCUGGACCACUCCUGACACUCAGACGCGAAAGCUAGGGUAGCAAACG
rnacentral:rRNA from 1 species